UACGGGAGGCAGCAGUGGGGAGUAUUGCACAAUGGGCGCAAGCCUGAUGCAGCCAUGCCGCGUGUAUGAAGAAGGCCUUCGGGUUGUAAAGUACUUUCAGUCGUGAGGAAGGUGUUAAGGUUAAUAACCUUAGCAAUUGACGUUAGCGACAGAAGAAGCACCGGCUAACUCCGUGCCAGCAGCCGCGGUAAUACGGAGGGUGCGAGCGUUAAUCGGAAUUACUGGGCGUAAAGGGCACGCAGGCGGUUAAUUAAGUUGGAUGUGAAAUCCCCGGGCUUAACCUGGGAAUGGCAUUCAAGACUGGUUAGCUAGAGUCUUGUAGAGGGGGUAGAAUUCCAUGUGUAGCGGUGAAAUGCGUAGAGAUGUGGAGGAAUACCGGUGGCGAAGGCGGCCCCUGGACAAAGACUGACGCUCAUGUGCGAAAGCGUGGGGAGCAAAC
rnacentral:rRNA from 1 species